rnacentral:rRNA from 1 species
ACACGUAGGGGGCGAGCGUUGUCCGGAUUUAUUGGGCGUAAAGGGUACGCAGGCGGCCAUAUAAGUCAGAUGUGAAAUCCAUAGGCUCAACCUAUGUAAGCAUUUGAAACUGUGUGGCUUGAGUUAAGGAGAGGAAAGUGGAAUUCCUGGUGUAGCGGUGAAAUGCGUGGAUAUCAGGAGGAAUAUCAGUGGCGAAGGCGACUUUCUGGUCUUAUACUGACGCUGAGGUACGAAAGCGUGGGGAGCAAACAGGAUUAGAUACCCUGGUAGUCCACGCCGUAAACGAUGAGUGCUAGGUGUCGGGGGGUAACCCUCGGUGCCGGAGUUAACACAUUAAGCACUCCGCCUGGGGAGUACGUGCGCAAGCAUGAA